rnacentral:lncRNA from 1 species
UUUUGAAUCAUCAAUAAGCAUUUUAUGUUUCUCUUUCUUUAUGGUUAUGUGAAGCUUGUGUACAUGUGCAGAGGCGUUGAAGAGCUAUCCAUAUAGAAUGAGGACAGGGAAGAUGCAGAUGCAGGAGAUGGAGCAAGUAGCUAAUGCUGCUCAAGGGCUUCCACCUGAUAGGAGCAGUCUCAACAAGCUAAUGGCCUUGCGCAAUAACAACAAUAUGAACGGUCAGGGAUCUGCACAAGCUGCCGCCUUUGCUCUUACCAACUACCAGACCAUGCUAAUGAAACAGAAUCAGGAGCAAACCAACGGCGCGCUCCAGCAAGAAUCAUCAAGAAACAUGAGCCCAUCACCGAGCUAUCAAGGGGCUGGUUCUUUGUUGGGUGGUGUUUCUUCACAUAUGUCUCCUCAGAGGCAAAUGCCAAGCUCAAGUUAUAAUAGCUCACCUCAUCAGCAAUACCAACAACAACAACCUUCGUGUAGUGGCAGUAACCAAGCGCUGGAACAACAGAUUCACCAAAUAUGGCAACAGAUGGCAAACAGCAACGGAGGCUCCGGGCAGCAGCAACAACAGCAGCAGUCACUCUCUGGUCAGAACAUGGGAAGAAAUAGAACAGACUAUGUUCCCACAGUGGAGACGCCAAGCACAUCCAACAGGUUCAGAGGCAUGAAAGGGUUAGACGAGGGGCAAAACCAGGAGGUUAUGGUCUCUUCCAACGCAUCACUCAGCUUUGAGAAUAACGGGUUCUUUGGCAGUGAGGUUGAUGAAAGCAUGGGGUAUCCUUGGAAGGCAUGAGGAGAGUUGGUAGUUUAGUCUUUAUAAAUGUUUGUCUUUUUGUAAAGAACUGAGUACUAAAGACACUAGAGACCAUCUUUAGGUAUGUGAAUCUCAUGAGGAGGCUUCAUCAGUGUUGAACUUGUUCACCUGGUGGUGUUACUGAACUUUAGAGGAAAGCUUCUGUUUUUAUGAGGUUAUUGGAAAAUGUUGACUAAAUUCUGGAAAAGAAGAAUGUUGUUCUUCAAGAACUCAUCCCCCAUUAAUCAAAUAUUGUACUUUUUUAUAUUAAAAAAUGUUUAAUUUCUUACUUCUUUUGCCUCAGUUUAUUCAAAGCUGAGAAUCAAAACACCUCUGCGAUUAAUUGAGAAAAAAAAUAAAUAUAUAUCUUAGAUUCAAAAAAUAAAAAGUAAUGUAAAACCUAAAACUAUAUUGCUGUUCUUUAUCAAAAAAAAAAAAAAAACAUAUUGCUGUUUUUGCUUGUACUAAACCUAUAUCUUAGAUCUGCAUUGAUGUUUUUGCUAGUACUAAACUGACCAUAUUCUUAAGUCAUUGAAAGACAAAAACAAACCUAACUAUAUAUUUGAUCAAAAAGAAAAAAAAACUAAUUCUAUAUAUAAAAACAAAGACUGAUAUAAAGAUCUAAAUUAAUAUCCGAAAUAAAUAUCUAAAACAUAAAUAAUUAUUUUAAUACUUUUUAUGUUUAUUUGAUAAUCUGAAUCCGAAAUAUCAUUAACCAAACUCAGAAUAAAUUUAUAUCAAACAUAGUUACGACAUAGACUAGAAUCUGAUUAACAGAAUCUGAUUCAAACAUAUAUAAAAUCUAAACAGAGUUUAGAAGACCGAACCUGAAAAAAAUCUUGCGAAUUCAAAGCCUGAUCACUAGUACUAGUACUAAUGAAAAGCUCAACCCCCUGAGAGAAAACCGAACUUAAUUGACACCGGUUCAAUUCGGUUCGGUAUAAAACCAAACCCAAAAUAAAAACCGAUCGGUUUAACUAAAACCCCUAUUAGCUUCGCUUCCCCCACAUUUUCCUGAACUGAAACUUUACACUUUGAGCUGAAAAAUCACAUCUUUACUACCAAUCAGCAGGAUCUUGUUUUAGACACUGGCAAUGGCUUUCAGGCGAGCCUUAUCCAUAAGGUCCACACUUACCUCUCUAAGGAAGCAGCUACCUUCUUACCAUAUCAUCAUUCGUGAGAAUAACCAUGCAGAAGACUCAUUCACAUCUCAAAGAAGUUACGAUAGCUUCCUUCACCACCAGUUGCCUCUGGCCCCUACCUCUGGCGGCUCUGCUUUUGCGUUCUAUAGAUACAUGUCGAGUGCGCACGGUGUUGGUUCGGAGAAGAUUGGUGUGGUUUCUGAUAUAGCUGGAGUUAUAACUGACUCCACGUUGCAAGAUGGGUCUGCUCAGGCUGCUGCUGCUGCAGUUAGUGAAGUUGGGGUUGCAGCGAGUGACUCUUUCUUGCCUAUCGCGGCUCUUCAGCAUUGCAUUGAUAUGGUUCAUUCAUUCACUGGUUUUGAGUGAUAAGAAUACUUUUAAGUUGUCUUUAUACAAACAGCGAUGCUAGUGAAAGACACCACUAAGUUAUCGGUAUGUGUGUGUCUCUCCCAUUUACUCCUCCUUUGCAAAUUAAAGACCAUUUAGGAUGAUGCAUCUAUUCCUCUCGCAUUAGGUAAACAGUCAACACUGAUAUAGUUUCUGUAUAAUAUGUGAAAUAAAAUUUGAAAUACAAAAGGAAAACAAAUCUCUAUGCACGUUUACUUAUCUUUUUUUUAAUGUCAUUUAUCUCUGUUUUUUGGUCUGCAUCCAGCAGUAGUCUGUUCUAUGAUCAUGCAGCUGAUGAGGCCGCGGUUGAGUCAAUCCGAGAGGAAAUGCAAAGCAAGGUACGUUUAGAUUGUUAAUCACAACCAUACAUCCUGCUCUUCCUCCUCCUCACAUUUGCUACUCUGCUAAAGCUAUUUCACUGACUACAUUCCUCCUUUCUCCUAUAUGUGUUCAGGGAAUGGAUCAUGUUACAAUGGCAGAAGGUCAAAAAAAGAUGAAGAAUUUGUUUAAAGAGUAAGUAAGCUGCCUUUUUUAAAUUUAAAACCAACUGAGAUAGCUCAAUCCAAACCCGUAAACUUGUUUGUAUUUACUAAAACUAGUGUUGUACCAGUUUUUGUUUUGUUUUGUUUGAGCAUCAUGUGACGUUGAGUAUAUUGAUAAAUAUGUUCACAUAACAAUACACUCACUCUGUUUAAUGAUAUACAGAUAUGGUGUCACUCCAUUCACGCCAAUGAAAGGGAUGUUGAUCCAGGGACCUCUAUUCAUCUCCUUUUUCCUUGCUGUAAGCACCUUUCAAUCCUUUUAGCUGUGUUGUUUGAUAUACUGUUUUUUUUUGUCUUACUCAGUUUCUUUUCUUCCUCCAGAUUCGAAAUAUGGCAUAGAAGGUCCCUUCAUUCCAAACCGGAGGUGCAUUAUGGUUUACCGAUCUAACAGCUCCAGACAGCUUAUACAUCUUACCUGUUAUAACAGCGUUGACGUUCUUGAUAACCGUUGAGGUACAUACACUUUCUUCUAACUUUUUAACAGUUUUGUCGUCUUCAACAUUUGUAAGUAAGCAUGCGGGAUUCGGUUAGUUCGGUUCAACAUAAAUCUUGCUAAAUUAUCCAGAAAUAAAGUACGGUUCGGUUCAACAUAAAUCUUACUGAAUUAACCGGAAAUAAAGUAUGGUUCGGUAUUUGGUUAGUUCAGUUUUCGAGAAUCAUAUGGAAUUUUUUUAUUUUGGUUUAGUUUUGUUAAAAUUUCUUAUAAGUCGGUUAGUUCAAUUUGAAAUUUGGUUAGUUCGCUUGGUUCAGUUCAGGUUUUGGUGUGGUUGGUUAUAAUAUUUUUUUCAAGGAAAACUGAUUGCCGAACAGAACCGAAAACCAAACCAUUUAAAAAAACAACCUCCGAAGCGAACCAAACUAACCAAAAAUUCGGGUUGGGUUGGGUUGGUUAGGUUCAAAAUCCCAGCCCUAUUUGUAAGACUUACUAACUUCAGAUCAAAUGUUUCACCUCCCAGUGUAAUGCACAAGAAGGCAUGGAAGGCAAUCCAAUGGCAGGCACUGUGAAAAACGUGUGUCGAGGUUUCGCUCUCCUCACUCCCCAUGACAAUGAGUUUUCCUCAGGCUAUAUUUUGUUACUGGAUCACAUCAAACCUCUUCUCCCUCACUUAUGGACUUGGUAAGUGAAUGUUUUUAGCUAAGAUUCAUGAUUGCAGCAUAACACUUAACAAUGUGGUGAUGUGUUAUAGUGAUUAAGCGUCCUCGAGUGAAGAAGCUGUUAAAGAUACCUGAGCUACCUCCACCUCCUCCAGGCCAGCAACCUUCCUUUGACCUGUUUGCAGCUCUCAAGAAAAUGAAAGCCAUGACACAGGACCGUACACAGAACGAGACACAAUCACCUUCGCCAGUAGUAAACCCGAGGUUGUCGUCGUUGAGUCCUGUUAGUAAGAGGCUUAAGGCUUUGGAGAGCCAAGUUAAGGGAAGGAAGAAGAACAGUAGUAAGAAGAGAUGAUCCAAAAUGAUGCCGUUUUAUUUAUUUUUUGUUAGAGGGCUUAAGAAAAAGUAAAAAGAGAUAACAAAAGCUUUUGAUUCAUAAAUGUAGAGAAUGAGAACAACUUAUACUUCGUAGUUUGUCCUCAUUUUGAUGAAACUAAUCUCGAGAGCCAGGUUAUAAGUAUUGUAGCCAUCUAUUAGUGACGUCUGUGUAACAAUCAACAUUUAAGUAAUCAAGAACCCAAUGUAGGUAAUCUACUCGUCAUAUUACAAUCGUUAACAUGGUAAAUUAUUCUCCCUCUUUCAAAAAUUAUGUUUUGGAGUUACACAUUAAAAGACAUUAAAAAUUCAUUGCAAAUGCAUUAUUUUAUGAUUAACUAUUUCGUUAAACAACUAUUUCGAUAAACAAAAUUAAUUACUUUACAUUUUAUUAAUUUAUUAUUACUACUACCUUAUAAAUUAAAUGUAAAAAGUUAUUUUUCAACAACUUUUUUUAAAGAAAUAACAUAGAUCUGAAAGGAGUACAAUUUAUAUAGGAACGUGUCUUUAAGUUGUGACUUGUGAGAGUUGCAAGUUAUAGUGGUCUGACUAAAUUAAUUAUCGAAUAUGGAGAAUGUACUUGUUCCCAAUUCAAAUUUCAUCAAUAUUUAGUUGUUUGAAAUAAUUACACCAUAAGACAGUUUUAAGUUUAUUAUUACACAAUAGGGCAGUUUAUGCUACCAAGACAGUUUCCACUAACACCUUCCUUUUGUCCUAAACGAGCUAGUCAGUUUGUAACUAAAGUGGGUCCCAUAUAUCUUCUUCUUCAUUUUCUUCUCUUGAAUUCUUUAUUUUUCUUUUUGUAAAAUAAAUGUUGUUUUUCCUGAACAUUUUUUUCAGAAAAUAUGUUUAUAAUCAAUAUCUUUAUUAUCCAAAGAUUCCAAACUAUCUUUUGAGAUAUGUCAAGCUAUAUCUCUGAUGGUGGUAUAAUCAUGAUGUAUACAAGUUUUCUCGUUCAAUGGAUAAACCUCUCCCUCGAACUCUAAAACAUGAUUCAAAGCUGUGGCACUGGUUCUGAAGCUCCAGAAUUGUCGUCGGUUUGCCCCUUUUUGUCACAGCCACCACCUAUGAGAAGCUCGAAAGCAACAAUGGCCAACUUUGGAAUUUUUAAAAAUCUAGUCCCUCAUCUUUUGUAUAAUUUAUUUUUGACCAAAUACUUUUAUUUGUGAAGAAGUCUGUUUUAUUUUUCUCCCAAACUUCCAAGCUUUUGUUUUGUUAUAGUUAAGAGUAUCAACAUUACAAAUAUAGAAAAAACAGAAUAACAUUUGGGGGUUGGCUGAGCAGAUGUGUGUACACCAAAACAAAUACGUACACAACAACGAUUGUACACAUGUACACACAUAUAACAAAGUUAAUGUAAGAAACAAUAUCAACACCUAUACUAUCAAUAAAAUAAGUAUUAUUCACGAACAUGAAAACUAAUCCUUUCACGUAAACUACACAUUCAUGAUCCAUGUCCUUAUCUACAAAGUUUUUUUUUUCAUUUUUCACUUAUCUCACAUGUACACUAAAAUUAUGUACACACACAAUAUCUUUGUGUACACAAACAUGAUGUACACAAAAUAAAACAUAAAUGCAAUACAAUAAUUAUUUUGCAAUGUUUUAGCUAUAAAUUUGCAUUUAUGUUUUAUUUUGUGUACAUCAUAUUUGUGUACACCGAAAAUAUUGCAUGUGUACAUAAAUUUACUAUACAUGUGUACAAUCGUUCCUUUAAUAAUAUACAAUGUACACAUGUGAAAAUAUACUCAUGUACACAUAUUAUUUUUGUGCCCGUAUAAUCAUGUUGUGAAAUUAUAUGGUGUUAAUAUAUUAUUGUACAAGUAAUUUGUGUACAAAUCUGUAAUUUUUAAGGCUAAAUUGUAAAUAGUUAAAAGCUAAAGGACCAGUCUUGCAAAUACAAGAACCUUGGUUUAGGAACAGGUCCCGUCGAGGUUUGAGAGACCCCGGUUUGGUUUGCUGAUGGUUGGCAAGGAGGAGAGGUCACGGAGGAAAGUACAAUGGAGCUUGACGAGCCACCGAAUUGAAGACCUUGAGGAAGACGAGACGCGACGGCGCGAGAGUGACCAUCUGGUGACGAUGAAUUGUAGACUCGCCGCAAAGUAGGAGAUCGGAAACAGAGUCGGAGACUGAGCCGGCGGCGGUGUUUGUCGUAGGAUGAAGGUCAAGGUGGAGAAGAAGAAGAUCGAAGUGGAGAAGAGAAAGUUGUGCUCCAAAAUAAAAUUAUUAUCAAGUUUAAUCCUCUUUCACGUCCACCAAUAAUAAAAAAUUCUUUGUGUUCCAAAGAAAAAUAAUAAUAAUUAACAUGGUAGGACCACUUUAGUUAGAUAAAUGACUUUAGUGAUAAUGGUUUGGUUUCUAGUUAGAAAAAACUACCUCACUAGCGGAAACUGUCUUAUUGUGUAAAUAAAACUUGAAAACUGCCCUAGAGUGUAAAUGACUCUAAAAGAAAUAUACCAAAGUAAAUGAAUUGAAAACUAAAAUAACCAGCAAAAGCAUGCAAUCAUCCCUUAUAUAUUAAAGACAUAAGUAAAAAAUAUCCAAGUUUAAUAAUCCCGCAUCAUAAGCGGGCCAAGCCUUAGUAAUAAGAUAGAAGAGAUAUAACUAUACGAUUAUUGUUCAAACAUACGACUUUUAGCUACUACGGCCAGAUCAACCGUCUUUAGAAAUUAGAAGCCCGUGUUUCUGGCGUCUUGCCUAGCCUGGCCAAGAUCGUACCCCUGAAGGAUCGCACCGGCAGGUCCUAUCGGCGUACCCANNNNNNNNNNNNNNNNNNNNNNNNNNNNNNNNNNNNNNNNNNNNNNNNNNNNNNNNNNNNNNNNNNNNNNNNNNNNNNNNNNNNNNNNNNNNNNNNNNNNNNNNNNNNNNNNNNNNNNNNNNNNNNNNNNNNNNNNNNNNNNNNNNNNNNNNNNNNNNNNNNNNNNNNNNNNNNNNNNNNNNNNNNNNNNNNNNNNNNNNNNNNAGGUUCCCUUCUGGAAUCAUGGUGUUGGAAUACGCAAAGGCGGUUCAGGAGAGUGUGUAUGAACACAUCCGUGUGGUCCGUGAAGGCCAUCUGAGAAUCAUAUUCUCCCAAGAGCUUAAGAUUCUCUCGUGGGAGUUUUGUACUCGUCGACAUGAAGAGCUGCUUCCUCGUCGCCUUGUAGCCCCACAGGUAAACAUUUGGAACUCUUUUAUCUUAACAAGGCUCGUCCUGAGAUGUGUGUUGUCUUCUUUUCAGGUGAACCAGUUGCUUCAGGUUGCAGAGAAGUGUCAGAGCACAAUUGAUCAGAGUGGACCAGAUGGGAUCCAUCAGCAGGAUCUGCAAGCAAAUAGCAACAUGUGAGUCAAUGAAUCUAAUGAAUCUAGACAACUUUUACCUUAUUCCUCUUUGUUUCUUUUAAUCAAAUCCAAUUUCAUUAUUUGUUGCAUCUUCUACAAGAUAAUGAAAAUGUUUAUUUGCUCUCCAGGGUCAUGGCUGCUGGACGUCAGCUAGCUAAAAGCUUGGAGUCACAUUCACUCAAUGACUUAGGCUUCUCCAAACGAUAUGUUCGGUGUUUACAGGUAUCUAUCUGUCUGUUUACUUUCUAUUUAUAGUAAUUUCCUAAUUUAUAUGCAUCAUCCUCAUGGUUUCUUUUAAACAGAUCUCUGAGGUUGUAAGCAGCAUGAAAGACAUGAUUGACUUCUGCCGUGACCAAAAAGUUGGUCCAAUAGGUAAGUUUUUGAAUCAUCAAUAAGCAUUUUAUGUUUCUCUUUCUUUAUGGUUAUGUGAAGCUUGUGUACAUGUGCAGAGGCGUUGAAGAGCUAUCCAUAUAGAAUGAGGACAGGGAAGAUGCAGAUGCAGGAGAUGGAGCAAGUAGCUAAUGCUGCUCAAGGGCUUCCACCUGAUAGGAGCAGUCUCAACAAGCUAAUGGCCUUGCGCAAUAACAACAAUAUGAACGGUCAGGGAUCUGCACAAGCCGCCGCAUUUGCUCUUACCAACUACCAGACCAUGCUAAUGAAACAGAAUCAGGAGCAAACCAACGGCGCGCUCC